GUCGUAACAAGGUAGCCGUAUCGGAAGGUGCGGCUGGAUCACCUCCUUUCAGAGCUUAAGUGCUCGUGUUAAGCGUCCACUCUUAUCGGUUGUUUUUUGUAGCUGGGGUCAAGAAUGCUUGGCCCCGCGUAGAAGCUAACUCAUAGCGCUGCUUGCAGCGUUAUGAGUUGGGUUUUACUCAACAGCUAUAUCGUUCUUUAACAAUCUGGAAGAAGCACAACGAAAUGUACUUAUCAAGUACUCGGCGCAAGUCGAAGAAGAUAGGUACGGGUUGUGAUUGCAUUAUUUUGUUCCAAGUUCUCAAGACUGGGGUGAAUAACCUCAGACUGCUUUGAAACUUAUGAACGGCACAAACGCUAAUACUCAGGUCCUAUAGCCUACAGCGUUAUAGGAUCAAGCGACUAAGUGCAUAUGGUGGAUGCCUUGGC
rnacentral:misc_RNA from 1 species